GAUGAACGCUGGCGGCGUGCCUAAUACAUGCAAGUCGAGCGAACAGAUGAGGAGCUUGCUCCUUUGACGUUAGCGGCGGACGGGUGAGUAACACGUGGGUAACCUACCUAUAAGACUGGGAUAACUUCGGGAAACCGGGGCUAAUGCCGGAUAAUAUUUUGAACCGCAUGGUUCUAAAGUGAAAGAUGGUCUUGCUAUCACUUAUAGAUGGACCCGCGCCGCAUUAGCUAGUUGGUAAGGUAACGGCUUACCAAGGCAACGAUACGUAGCCGACCUGAGAGGGUGAUCGGCCACACUGGAACUGAGACACGGUCCAGACUCCUACGGGAGGCAGCAGUAGGGAAUCUUCCGCAAUGGGCGAAAGCCUGACGGAGCAACGCCGCGUGAGUGAUGAAGGUCUUCGGAUCGUAAAACUCUGUUAUUAGGGAAGAACAAAUGUGUAAGUAACUGUGCACGUCUUGACGGUACCUAAUCAGAAAGCCACGGCUAACUACGUG
rnacentral:rRNA from 1 species